rnacentral:rRNA from 1 species
UUCCGGUUGAUCCUGCCGGACCUGACUGCUAUCGGAUUGAUACUAAGCCAUGCGAGUUUUUGUAGUAAUACAAGGCAGACGGCUCAGUAACACGUAGUCAAUCUAACCUAUGGACGAGGAUAACCUCGGGAAACUGAGAAUAAUACUCGAUAGAUCAUUAUGCCUGGAACGGUUUAUGGUUCAAAUGAAUUUCGCCAUAGGGUGGGGCUGCGGUCUAUCAGCUUGUUGGUGAGUAAUGGCCCACCAAGGCUAUAACAGAUACGGGCUCUGAGAGGAGAAGCCCGGAGAUGGGUACUGAGACACGGACCCAGGCCCUAUGGGGCGCAGCAGGCGAGAAAACUUUGCAAUGUGCGAAAGCACGACAAGGUUAAUCCGAGUGAUUCCUGCUAAAGGAAUCUUUUGUUAGUCAUAACACCACUGAUGAAUAAGGGGUGGGCAAGUUCUGGUGUCAGCCGCCGCGGUAAAACCAGCACCUCAAGUGGUCAGGAGGUUAUUGGGCCUAAAGCAUCCGUAGCCGGCUUUGUUAGUUUUCGGUUAAAUCUAUAUGCUCAACAUAUAGGCUGCCGGGAAUACUGCAAAGCCAGGGAGUGGGAGAGGUAGACGGUACUCCGUAGGAAGGGGUAAAAUCCUUUGAUCUAUGGAUGACCACCUGUGGCGAAGGCGGUCUACCAGAACAUGUCCGACGGUGAGGGAUGAAAGCUGGGGGAGCAAACCGGAUUAGAUACCCGGGUAGUCCCAGCUGUAAACUUGCAAACUCAGUGAUGCAUUGGCUUGUGGCCAGUGCAGUGCCGCAGGGAAGCCGUUAAGUUUGCCGCCUGGGAAGUACGUACGCAAGUAUGAAACUUAAAGGAAUUGGCGGGGGAGCACCACAAGGGGUGAAGCCUGCGGUUCAAUUGGAGUCAACGCCGGG